rnacentral:pre_miRNA from 1 species
UUCACAUGCUUACCUGAAAUGAUCAUUAAAAUAAGUUGGAUACUCCUAACACUAAACAAUGGCGUGCCUUGGAAUUUUGGAGGGGUUGGAGAAAAUUGUGAAAAGUGUAUUGAAAGAGGUAAAACAAGAGGUCAUUACCUGCCCAAUUGCAUUGGACGAAGAAACUGAGGAUUCUCAGUGUUAGGUGUAGCCAACUUAUUUUAAUGGGCAUUUUAGGAAAGCAUUUGAA